rnacentral:rRNA from 1 species
CAGUCGCCGCGGUAAUACGAAGGGUGCAAGCGUUAAUCGGAAUUACUGGGCGUAAAGCGUGCGUAGGCGGUUUGUUAAGUCUGUUGUGAAAUCCCCGGGCUCAACCUGGGAAUUGCAGUGGAUACUGGGUCACUAGAGUGUGGUAGAGGAUAGUGGAAUUUCCGGUGUAGCAGUGAAAUGCGUAGAGAUCGGAAGGAACAUCUGUGGCGAAGGCGACUAUCUGGGCCAACACUGACACUGAGGCACGAAAGCGUGGGGAGCAAACAGGAUUAGAUACCCCCGUAGUCCCUGUCUCUUAUAC